UAAUCAGUUGCUGCUUCUGCCUGUGUGGUAUGUACUCUUCCACUAGGUGGUGCUACAAUGAGUUUAUACAAACUGCUUUGUAGCAUGACUAAGACGAGGAACAUGCAGCUGCUGAGUGGGACACAGUGGUGGGACUACUGAGGAGCAAGAGGAGGGCCUGGUGGGAGUAACAAGAACAAACAAAAAGUAACAAGGAAAAUUACUAGAAAAGAAAAAAAGUGUAAAAAGCACAGCAAGACAGAAUACGUGAGAUGUAACAAGCAGGUUGAGGGCAUGAUGUAAUAGGUCCUAGACACCCCAGGGACCAAUCCAUGGGAGGAGUUGGCCCCAGACAAAAAAGGUUGGGAAUUACUGGGCCCAGCAACAUGUGUUUUCUCAAAUAUCAAUUUAUAUGAGUGAUAAACUAAAUGGAAAUGGAUAAUUAGUUCCUGUAAUGACUAUGGUAAAUGUGAAUGAUGCAGACUGACAAAAAAAGGUACUUUCAGGGAUUGCUCUGACUGUGAUUUCAAUCAGCUAGUAAUAGUCUGUUCUUCUUACCUGGGUGCUGGUGAGAUAACAAGCAGAAGUACUAUGCAGGCUUUUAUUAUUAUGGAAGCACUGGACGUAGUUCCACAAUUUUGUACUUAAAGCAGAGACUCAAUCAUUUAUAUAGGAAGAACACAGUGUAACCUCUCCAAAAUUAGAGACUUAUUUUUUGGGCAGAAAAUGAAUUUUCUGAGAAUUUACAAAUAAAUCCAUUUAUGAGUUAAAAUUAAUUUUUAAAAGGGCCACUUAAAAAAUUUAGCACCUUUUUAAAUCUCAAAUGACUUUAAUGGAAUAAUGCAGACUCUUCAAACCUGUGAUACAAUGAAAAGUCUCUGAAAGUUUGUGCAUUGGCGAAAUUUGAUGUUUAAACAGUUUAGUGGCCAUUUUUUGGCAUUAUCCUUCUUAACCGAAAGUUGCUUCUUCAGCAGUGAUUGAAGAAUAUUCUUCUGCAGAAAGUUUCACCAGGAAUUGCCCCUUUUCAAAAUGUCUGUCAUCUACUAUUGUUCUCAAUGGGACUGAGAAAAUAGGCUGUCCUCAGUCAAGAUGAUGUUCUUGGUUUUGCUCCCAGUGAGAAUGAUAAGAGUGUGUGGACAUUUCAGAAGAAGGGGCUGUGACACUGAUAGGCCAGUUCAGAUUAGAGCAAUAGGCCAGUUCACUUUUGUAUGAAUAUCAAAGAAGUAUUAGUAUGCAUUCAGAAUAAUUCACUCAUAUGCUCCAAGAUAUAAAAAGAGAUGCUAAUGUUAGUGUAUUCACUUAUCUGUAACCAAUUGACUUAUUAAAUUAUAUUUGCAUUGCAUAUCACCUGUAAUUACAUUUACAUUAUUUAUACCUUGGUAAUUAAAUAACCCUACAUCAAAGGUGUGGUAAGAAUGUACUUGAUGUAUAAACUUCAAGAAGACUAAUGAAGGAUUAUUAUUUGCUAUUACAUUGCCUUUUAUAUUGUGUAGCUCUCAGACUAAAUUCAUCAAAUGUGAAUGGAAUCUUGAAAUGUUAAUAUCAAAGCAAGAGAUGGUGGAGGAGUAAAGACACUUCACAUUGCUUUGUGUGUGGAAAAGCUAUAAAUAUGAUUAAAAAAGGAUCUAGCAUCUCUGAACUAUUUGAACAUUCAUAGGGAAGCAUUCCAGAUGCAAGACAGAGAUCUCCGAAGUUAUUUUGAGUAACCCUGAGAGAUUUAUGGAAAACUAGCAGAUUACAACAUCUCUUCUAUCAUUUUGGAUUUACACAUUUAGACUCACCUGUUAAUGUAUUUUACCUGCUUUAACCUCUCAAUAACUCAUUUCUUUUUCUUAGCUAAUAAACCUUUAGUUAGUUUACGAGAACAACUGGCUGCCAGAGUUGUCUUUGAUGUGAGACAGAGUAUCCAUUGUCUGGGAUCUUUUGUCCACAUGAUUCCACACGUGGUGUGCAUGCAUUCCAUGCAUGAGACUGGAUUCUUUUGGCCAGCAGCGUCCAAUGGGGCUGCACCUGCGCCCUAGAUGUCCUUGUGUCUCCCCACCUUAGAACAUAUAGGAUGGAGUGGGCCUAACUGUUGCUUAGUUCCUUCACCAAUACAGAACUCCAGAACAGAAGGACUCCAUAGUUGCAGGGAAGGAAGGCAGGUCAUGGGAUCCAUUUGGAGAACACAUUUUGAAGAACCACAAUUACCAUAAGGUAAAUAACCAUUCUUUCUGCUUUGAGUACUUGUCCACACGGAUGUCUGUUUGAUGACUAACCGGCAGUUGUUUUUUUGCUCGGGGUGGGUGCUCCUAGUCCUACUUCAAUAAAGGCUACAGGACAGCCCUAUCACAACAGAUAUCCUAUCUGGAAGCCUCUGCAAAACGUGUGGCCUGCGUUCCAUGUAGAGUAACCCAGCUCUGACCUUUCGCUACGAUUCCGGUCUACUGACUCCUGCUUCAAGCACGAGGCGUGACUGCCCAGGUCUUCAGUCUCUGACAAACCUGAGUUUGCUCUGCGAAACUGGAACUCGUAUUUUUCAUAGAGGAAUCCAGGUGGUGAACUUUCCUGGCCUCUGUGCCUAUGAAAAUCUCCCAGGGGAUUUAAAGAUAGUCUCUUAAGUCCAUAUAUGGGCAGCUAAGCGACCUGACUUUUAGAUGUGCUAAGAAACCCAGAAGUGCCCCAGUGAUGUCAAUGAGAGCUGGUAGGUGUUCAGCUCUUUUAAAAAUCAGGACACCUAUUGAGCUGCCCAUAUACAACUUAGGAGGAUAACUGUAGGCACCAAUUUUUAAAAAUCUUGGCCAAUGGAGGUUUGAGUAAUUUGAUACAUCUUGGAUAAUGAGAGCUACAGGACCACUAUUUCAGGGGUUCUCAAACUUCAUUGCAUCCUUCUGACAACAAAGUUACUGCAUGACCCCUGCCACCCUGAGUGGGUGGGGGGAUAGCAGUCUGCAGCCUGAGCCCCACAGUCCCAGGUGAGGUUGGAACUAGGGCUUCAGCUUCUGCCCUGGAUCCCAGCAAGUCUAAUGCUGGCCCUGGUGACCCCAUUAAAAUUAGGUUGCAACCUACUUUGGGGUCCCGACCCACAGUUUGAGAACUGCUGCACUAUUUGAAUCAAAACUUUUGAAGUUUACCUAUUUCUAAACUCCCUACAUUCUUUUAUCUUAAUACUCUUCUUUUUGCAACAUCUCACCAUUUACUAGUAUUGGCAGACUUCGGGCUGGAUUGUGCUAUAAAAAGCCAGCCAUGCACUUGGGGAAGGAGGAAGAUGGGAUGGGCUGCACUGCAGCUGGAUCCCCUGGAGGAACUCUUGCUGACUUCUCAAUCAGGCUGAUGCCCUGUAGUAGCAGCUCGGUCACCUUUAAAACAGGUGCAGUAUGUGUUUCCGCUACGUCUGGCCCACUUUUCUGGCUGCUACAGAGGAUUACAGCCUCUCAUUCCACAUAGAUUCAUAGAUACUAAGGUCAGAAGGGACCAUUCUGAUCAUCUAGUCCGACCUCCUGCACAGCACAGGCCACAGAAU